ACGGGUAUUCUUGGGUAAAUAAU
rnacentral:miRNA from 8 species